GAUGAACGCUGGCGGCGUGCUUAACACAUGCAAGUCGAACGGGAAAUAUUUCAUUGAGACUUCGGUGGAUUUGAUCUAUUUCUAGUGGCGGACGGGUGAGUAACGCGUGGGUAACCUGCCUCAUACAGGGGGAUAACAGUCAGAAAUGGCUGCUAAUACCGCAUAAGCGCACAGAGCUGCAUGGCUCAGUGUGAAAAACUCCGGUGGUAUAAGAUGGACCCGCGUUGGAUUAGCUAGUUGGUGGGGUAACGGCCCACCAAGGCGACGAUCCAUAGCCGGCCUGAGAGGGUGAACGGCCACAUUGGGACUGAGACACGGCCCAGACUCCUACGGGAGGCAGCAGUGGGGAAUAUUGCACAAUGGGGGAAACCCUGAUGCAGCGACGCCGCGUGAAGGAAGAAGUAUCUCGGUAUGUAAACU
rnacentral:rRNA from 1 species